GAUGAACGCUGGCGGCGUGCCUAAUACAUGCAAGUCGAACGAACAGACGAGGAGCUUGCUCCUCUGACGUUAGCGGCGGACGGGUGAGUAACACGUGGAUAACCUACCUAUAAGACUGGUAUAACUUCGGGAAACCGGAGCUAAUACCGGAUAAUAUAUUGAACCGCAUGGUUCAAUAGUGAAAGACGGUUUUGCUGUCACUUAUAGAUGGAUCCGCGCCGCAUUAGCUGGUUGGUAGGGUAACGGCUUACCAAGGCAACGAUGCGUAGCCGAGCUGAGAGGGUGAUCGCGCACAGUGGAAGUGAGAGGCGGUCCAGACUCCUACGGGAGGCAGCAGCAGCGAAUGUUGCGAAAUGGGCGAAAGCCUGAAGGAGGAACGGAGGGCGGGUGAUGAAGGUCUGCGGAUGGGAAAACUCUGUUCUUAGUGAAGAACAAAUGUGUAAGUAACUAUGCGCGUCUUGAGGGAACCGAAUCAGAAAGCCACGGUAAACUACGU
rnacentral:rRNA from 1 species